GUUGCCAGCCGCCGCGGUUAUACGGGGGGUCCAAGCGUUGUCCGGAAUCACUGGGCGUAAAGGGUGUGCAGGUGGGGCAGCAAGUCAGAGGUGAAAGCCCGCGGCUUAACCGCGGACGUGCCUUUGAAACUGCUGCUCUUGAGUCCCGGAGAGGUUGCCGGAAUUCGUGGUGUAGCGGUGAAAUGCGUAGAUAUCACGAGGAACACCAGAGGCGAAAGCGGGCAACUGGACGGGUACUGACACUGAGGCACGAAAGCGUGGGGAGCAAACAGGAUUAGAUACCCGAGUAGUC
rnacentral:rRNA from 1 species